UAUAUAUAUAUAUAUAUAUAUACACACACACUGUCUUCCUGUGCAGUUACAAAACGAUUUGUUUCUUUCGCACUAUAACAGAUCUUCACACUAACUCUCACAUACCUGUGGUGCUUAUGAAUUAUUGGCCUCCUACUUGUGAAAGAAAUCUAACACUGUCCUCACCCUUUACAGCAAAAAAAGGAGUGAACUGAGGAGGAGUGGAAAAAUAAUGACAAUAUUUCUUUCUUGCGUAAGACAAAGGUUUUGCUUAUAAUAAAUUCACUGAGCAAGACA
rnacentral:lncRNA from 1 species